rnacentral:pre_miRNA from 1 species
CACUACAAAAUAACUUAUUUUGUAACUACUUUGAGUUACGAUAAUUACUAUGUUAAUUUACGAUAUUAUAGUAACUCCAUACUAAGUGGUUUACUAUAAUGUUAUAGUAAAUAUUUUAAUAUGUUAUAGUAAUCCAACUAUCGUAAAUAUGUAUUAAUAUUAUCGUAAAUUAGUAUAUAAAAUUAUCAUAAAUAGAGGUGGCUACAGAAUAACUUAUUUUGUAGCUG